rnacentral:rRNA from 1 species
GAUGAACGCUGGCGGCGUGCCUAAUACAUGCAAGUCGAGCGAACAGACGAGGAGCUUGCUCCUCUGACGUUAGCGGCGGACGGGUGAGUAACACGUGGAUAACCUACCUAUAAGACUGGGGUAACUUCGGGAAACCGGAGCUAAUACCGGAUAAUAUAUUGAACCGCAUGGUUCAAUAGUGAAAGACGGUUUUGCUGUCACUUAUAGAUGGAUCCGCGCCGCAUUAGCUAGUUGGUAAGGUAACGGCUUACCAAGGCGACGAUGCGUAGCCGACCUGAGAGGGUGAUCGGCCACACUGGGACUGAGACACGGUCCAGACUCCUACGGGAGGCAGCAGUAGGGAAUCUUCCGCAAUGGGCGAAAGCCUGACGGAGCAACGCCGCGUGAGUGAUGAAGGUCUUCGGAUCGUAAAACUCUGUUAUUAGGGAAGAACAAAUGUGUAAGUAACUAUGCACGUCUUGAUGGUACCUAAUCAGAAAGCCACGGCUAACUACGUG